ACAACGGUCACAGAUACCUGGAUGGAGGUC
rnacentral:piRNA from 1 species